GACGAACGCUGGCGGCGUGCUUAACACAUGCAAGUCGAACGAUGAAGCUAGAGCUUGCUCUGGUGAAUUAGUGGCGAACGGGUGAGUAACACGUGAGUAACCUGCCCCGAACUCUGGGAUAACUCCUGGAAACGGUAGCUAAUACUGGAUACGACCUACGAAGGCAUCUUCUGUAGGUGGAAAGAAUUUCGGUUCGGGAUGGACUCGCGGCCUAUCAGCUUGUUGGUGAGGUAAUGGCUCACCAAGGCGACGACGGGUAGCCGGCCUGAGAGGGUGACCGGCCACACUGGGACUGAGACACGGCCCAGACUCCUACGGGAGGCAGCAGUGGGGAAUAUUGCACAAUGGGCGCAAGCCUGAUGCAGCAACGCCGCGUGAGGGAUGACGGCCUUCGGGUUGUAAACCUCCUUUAGUAGGGAAGGAGCGAAAGUGACGGUACCUGCAGAAAAAGCACCGGCUAACUACGUGCCAGCCGCCGCAGUAA
rnacentral:rRNA from 1 species